rnacentral:rRNA from 1 species
AGUGAACGCUGGCGGUAGGCCUAACACAUGCCAGUCGAACGGCAGCACAGUAAGAGCUUGCUCUUACGGGUGGCGAGUGGCGGACGGGUGAGGAAUACAUCGGAAUCUACUUUUUCGUGGGGGAUAACGUAGGGAAACUUACGCUAAUACCGCAUACGACCUACGGGUGAAAGCAGGGGAUCUUCGGACCUUGCGCGAUUGAAUGAGCCGAUGUCGGAUUAGCUAGUUGGCGGGGUAAAGGCCCACCAAGGCGACGAUCCGUAGCUGGUCUGAGAGGAUGAUCAGCCACCCUGGAACUAGGCCACGGUCCAGACUCCAACGGGAGGCAGCAGUGGGAAAUAUUGGACAAUGGGCGCAAGCCUGAUCCAGCCAUACCGCGUGGGUGAAGAAGGCCUUCGGGUGGUAAAGCCCUUUUGUUGGGAAAGAAAAGCAGCAGGUUAAUACCCCGCUGUUCUGACGGUACCCAAAGAAUAAGCACCGGCUACCUUCGU